UUCCUUAAAACUUAUCACUGUCUCAGAAAAAAAAAAAGCUUAUUCUCUUCUUCCAAUCCCUUCACGUGUAGUCACUCAACAUUUCUCCUUCUCUCCAUUCUUCACCAUCUCUGUUCAAGCGCCGUCUAUCUCCAUUCACCAGCGUCGUGGAUCUCCAUUGACCGUUGAGCGUUCGUUCAAGCAUCUAUCUCAUUUGAGAAUUUGUUCAUUUGUUCGUCAUGGAUCUCCCUUCAAGUGUUUGUUCCAACUCAGUCGAUCGUCGAGCUCCACCGGCCUUCACCAACAGGGUCCUGCAGCAGAUAAAGGUUUCACAGUUCAGGAUUGUAAGAGUAUUUAGCAGCAGAAGCCGAAUCCCUUCAAACACCAAACAACAAGGACCCAAGCCUUUCGGCAAGCACCAGUAGUUUUCUUAGAUAGUAACUAUAUGACCCUCCAAGCAGACAACUAGUUCUCGAUCUUCAGACUUUGAAGCACUCUAUGUACAUAUUAAGUAAUGUAAUUUUGUUGAUAGGUUACUUGUUAUUAAACAAUGUCAUUUUCUUUGUUGUGUUGCUAGAGUGAAUUAGUUAAUCUUAGUGUUUACUAAAAGUUGAGUUGUGCAUAUAAAGAGAAUAGUUGAGAUUUUAUUUUGCUCAUGUACAUGGGAAAAUAAUGUUGUAAUUUCGGAAAUUGUUCUUAUGAAAGAUGAUAGUUGAAUAUAUGGAUUUUUUUAGUCAAUAUUUUGAGUUGAUAGAUGCUAAAUAUGUAAUAUUUAUUUAGUUGAUGAAAUUAUAUCAUAGGAAUUCAAGGAAGGAAAUGAGAAUAUCAAUUGGGGUAUUUAAUUUGAAAAAAAAAAAGACAUACAUGAUAUUGGAAUUAUGUCAAGAACUAAAUAACUUAUAAAUUAUUAAGUGUCAAAAUGAACACAAAAAAAGGAACGUAGAGAUAGAGAAGAUCGACACACAGAUAUACGUGUAGCUACGUCUACGGGUAGAGGGAGAAUAAUAUUAUUUGAGAGAAUGUUUUUCAGAAAUUACAUCAAAACAGUGCCUCUCCAAUCGUAAAUUACUACAAAUAAAUAAAUAUGCUGAACACGAAGUGCCAACAACAGAUUCAAGGCAUUUUAACAAUAACAAUAUAGUUACAAAUAAAAAACAUCAAG